rnacentral:ncRNA from 1 species
GCAAAGUAGGACAGCAUGCGUAGUGUUCCUGGUACUGGGAGUUGACCGGGAAACGAAUGUUAGCCGGGCGUCUGGCCAGAGCCAUUGCGGGCGAUCAGCCGGGAGACGUCAGACCAAUGGCCGCGCGGUAUGCUGUCCGCAUCCCGUUG